CGACUACUAUCAAAGAGAUGCCAACAGUGCCUCUGUACUGUACCUGUGACUUUGCUCAUCGUUUGGCCGCUGGAUCGAAAACGAACGGUCCAUAUAGGGCGCAAACACAUGACAGCGCACAGUAUGCAACUGUGUUCUCGGCUCAUCAUAUAAGACCACUUUGUCACGACCCAAAACCGCACUCGGCUCAGCCACUCAGUAGCUCCCUCACCAUCUUCCUCCUCCUGCUAUUCAGAUGCAGAUCUGGGCCGCUCUGGAUGGCAUCCGAGCUCGUAGCAAUGCAGGGACGAGGUGGCGAUGCAACACGCCAUGGAGACCUAAGCAAGGCAGCUUCAUCCUUACGUUGAAGAGUAAGCAAGGCAGCAACGGCCGGCGUGUUUGACACUUCCGGCGAGCUAGAUGCCAGGUUUGAGCCAUGCAAGAUCCAGCAAGCUAGUCAAAUGUUUACCCGAGGCUAGCUAGGCCCUUGAUGUCGGCAGAACGUGAGAAAGUUAUACAAGUACGUACAAUAUAACUUCGUAUUUUCGGAGCCAAUUGCAGCACUCCUACUCUGGUAUAUUGUAAGUCACUCCUCGGUCUUUGUCUCAUAUCUUCUUUCUUUUUUUGAAAUGAUUGUCUCUUAUCUUGGUACGUAACAAUUCUUUUUUCAUUAUUGUUUCCGGUGUGCCAUCGAUACAUUUUACACUGUCUUUAUGCAGGAAAGUAAUACAACACACUUUUGUCAAUCUUGUUUAAUUUCCUUCUAGUACUACUGGAGAUCUAACUUGGCAUGACGGCAUAUUGAUCUGUAUAUACUCCCUCCGUCCCUAAAUACUCCCUCCGUUUCUGAAUAUUUGUCUUUUUAGAGAUUUUAAAUGGACUAUCAUUUACGGAUGUAUAUAGAAAUGUUUUAAAGUAUAGAUUCACUCAUUUUGCUUCGUAUGUAGUCAUUUGUUGAAAUCUCUAGAAAGACAAAUAUUUAGAAAUGAAGGGAGUAUUUGUCUUUUUAGAGAUUUCAACAAGUGAAUACUUACGGAGCAAAAUGAGUGAAUCUACACUCUAAAAUAUGUCUAUAUACAUUCAUAUGUGGUAGUCCAUUUGAAAUAUCUAAAAAGACAAAUAUUUAGGAACGGAAGAAGUAGAAAGUAGAAGAGUAAAUUUUGUUAUGACCAUAUGAUUUCUCUUGGCGCUCUGUUUUUCUUUUUCUUUUGCGGCUGUUGUCUUCUUUUGUCCCUUGUUUUGCUGGUGGCUCUAGCUCUCUGUAUCUAUAUGUUGUAAAGUCUGGAUAUUAAUCAAAGCAACAACCAAUGAUUGAAUCA